GGCUGUCUCUGCAAAUUAGAGUUUGUUACAAUAGUGCUACCACUCACUAUUCAAUAUAGAGUACUACUAAUUAACGCCGUGCUGGAAUCAAAUCAUAUCAAAACAGCUUUUUGCGUUCCGCCUUUGUUUUCUUCUCCUCUGCUCUCACCUCUCUCUAACGAAAAUGGAGAAGGUUAAAGUUAAGAGUGAGAGUGAGUUGUGUCUGAACAAAGACAUUAUCUUUGAUAUUCUUUAAAAAAAUUGAAGUGAAGCAGUUGUUUCGUAUGAAGCGCGUUUCAAAAGAUUGGAAGCAGAUUAUUUCAAGUCGUUCAUUCAUGAAAGCUCAAUUAAAAAACGCAAAUCUCGUGUUAAACGGCUUCAUUGUUCAAGACAGGUAUAUGUUGUGCAAACACGAUAUCAAAACGGUUAGUUACAUUCCAGUGGAAACAAGAAACGGUGGUAAAGUAGUGCACCAAACCGUUUUCACUUUUCUUCCUGAACAAGUUGUUGUUUUGGCGUCGUGCAAAGGGAUUAUAUGUUGCCGUAGCUGUUUGCCUUCUCCAAAUCCAACCAGAUUUUAUCUCUGCAAUCCUUGUAAUAGAGAUUGGAUUCAAUUGGAUUGGCCUCCUCAAUGUGACAUAACAGAUAGCAUAGCAUUUGCUUUUGAUUUUGAAUGUGAAUUUGAGCCAUCCAAAUUCAAAUUAAAAUUGGUUAGAGUGAAACGCCAUGAGGAGGAUGAAUCUUCUCUUUCACAUUUGAUUUGUACUCACCAGCGACAAAAGAUUGGAGGAAAUCAACUGAGAUAUGCUACUGCAACAGCGAUUUGAUUAAAAACAAAGGCAUAUACAUUGGAGGUAUUUUAUAUUGGCUUACAGAAGGUGAUCAAAUACUCACUUUUGAUGUGGAGAAUGAGCUUUCUUUGUUGAUUUCUGUACCAGUUCCAUCUGUUGAGUUUAGAUCGGUUCCUGAAGCUUGCAUAAGAGAAAAUGAAGGAAAACUUAACUAUGUUCAGGUAUCAGAAGAAGGACUUCAUGUAUGAGUCUAAAUGGAAUCUCAAACAUGGUAAACGUUUGGAGGAUUUUGAAGCAGAAUAUCCACGCUUCUUUUUGAAUUUGAAGAAUCGAAUUUCUGAGCGGAGGAGUGUGGAUUCAAGUCCUUGGAUGAAUCCUCUUGGUUUCAAAGAUGGUAUUUUACUAAUCAAGGUUUGCAUACAAUUGUACAUCUAUGACAUCAACAUUGACAACAUUACUGAAGCUUGUUCAUUUCUACAACUCAACCCACAAUCCAUGUCUCAUCCUACAGUGUUUCCACAUUCCUUAAGCUUGUUUCCCUUGAAUGAUGAUAUUGCUGAUGCUAAUUAGUUUUUAAUUAACUCCCUUUUUAUUCCUAUCUAGUUAGUUUUUAUAAUCAGAUUAAUAUAGAGCUUAGUGAAUGUUUUCGAAUAUAGUAUAUAUAGUGAAAAAUGAGUGAAUUACUAGACUCGUGAUUUUGAUAGUGUAUUUAGCAUACCUUGUGAAUAAAAA